UACGAAGGGGGCUAGCGUUGCUCGGAAUUACUGGGCGUAAAGCGCACGUAGGCGGUCUUUUAAGUCGGGGGCGAAAUCCUGGAGCUCAACUCCAGAACUGCCUUCGAUACUGGAAGACUUGAGUCCGGGAGAGGUGAGUGGAACUGCGAGUGUAGAGGUGAAAUUCGUAGAUAUUCGCAAGAACACCAGUGGCGAAGGCGGCUCACUGGCCCGGUACUGACGCUGAGGUGCGAAAGCGUGGGGAGCGAACGGG
rnacentral:rRNA from 1 species